rnacentral:rRNA from 1 species
CCUACGGGUGGCAGCAGUGAGGAAUAUUGGUCAAUGGACGAGAGUCUGAACCAGCCAAGUAGCGUGAAGGAUGACUGCCCUAUGGGUUGUAAACUUCUUUUAUAUGGGAAUAAAGUGUUGCACGUGUGCCUUUUUGUAUGUACCAUAUGAAUAAGGAUCGGCUAACUCCGUGCCAGCAGCCGCGGUAAUACGGAGGAUCCGAGCGUUAUCCGGAUUUAUUGGGUUUAAAGGGAGCGUAGAUGGAUUGUUAAGUCAGUUGUGAAAGUUUGCGGCUCAACCGUAAAAUUGCAAUUGAAACUGGCAGUCUUGAGUACAGUAGAGGUGGGCGGAAUUCGUGGUGUAGCGGUGAAAUGCUUAGAUAUCACGAAGAACUCCGAUUGCGAAGGCAGCUUACUAGACUGCAACUGACAUUGAUGCUCGAAAGUGUGGGUAUCAAACAGGAUUAGAUACCCUUGUAGUC